rnacentral:misc_RNA from 1 species
CUGCUGGCUAAGGCAUGAAAGU